rnacentral:rRNA from 1 species
CGGGGAAUAUUGGGCAAUGGGGGAAACCCUGACCCAGCAACGCCGCGUGAAGGACGAAGGCCUUCGGGUUGUAAACUUCUUUGAUCAGGGACGAAACAAAUGACGGUACCUGAGGAACAAGCCACGACUAACUACGUGCCAGCAGCCGCGGUAAUACGUAGGUGGCAAGCGUUAUCCGGAUUUACUGGGUGUAAAGGGCGUGUAGGCGGUCUUGCAAGUCGGAAGUGAAAUUCCCGGGCUUAACCCGGGCGCUGCUCCCGAAACUGCGAGACUUGAGUACUGGAGAGGAUAGUGGAAUUCCUAGUGUAGCGGUAAAAUGUGUAGAUAUUAGGAGGAACACCAGUGGCGAAGGCGGCUAUCUGGACAGUAACUGACGCUGAGGCGCGAAAGCGUGGGGAGCAAACAG